rnacentral:ncRNA from 1 species
UUUGCACAUCGCGGGAGCUCCGAGCACGGGGCUGAGAGGGCGCUGACCUCCGUGGAAGGGACCACGGAACCGGCUGCGCCGACCGCCGAACCUGUUACCGGGUAAUGCCGGCGUAGGGAGUGGGUCUCAUGACCAC